UACAGAGGUCUCAAGCGUUGUUCGGAUUCAUUGGGCGUAAAGGGUGUGUAGGUGGCGCCGUAAGUCGGGUGUGAAAUUUCGGAGCUUAACUCCGAAACUGCAUUCGAUACUGCGGUGCUUGAGGACUGGAGAGGAGACUGGAAUUCAUGGUGUAGCAGUGAAAUGCGUAGAGAUCAUGAGGAACACCAAUGGCGAAGGCAGCUUCUUGGCUCAUUCCUGACGUUGAGGCACGAAAGCGUGGGGAGCGAACAGG
rnacentral:rRNA from 1 species